rnacentral:tRNA from 1 species
GGCAGCGUGGCGUAGUGGUUUGAGUGCUGGACUAUGACUCUGGAGACCAAGGUUCAAUUCUCCACUUGGCCA